GCGAGGAAUCAAAUUGGCUACCUCGGUCCUUCUAGUGUUAAGAGUGAUAUUUCAUUUUUCAAAGUGAGAUUCGCUCUAAAAGUUUAGAGAGUAUCUCUUCAUUUAUUUGUUCGUCGUUUAAAACCGGUGAAAAGAUAUAACAAGAAACAAUUUUGUAAAAGUGUAACACGAUUGAUUAUGAUUGCAAAUAACUUCCCUCGACAGAUCCAGGCUCUUAAAACGGUCUUUCAGUUAGGAAGUGAAUUCGCGCAUGUGCCGCGAACAGCCCGAAAUCGCUGGUUUCAUUAUUGUUCUAUCAGCCUAAAAUUAAAAUCGGUGAAAGUAUCUGAGUAAUAUUGGCGCGGUUAUUCAAAUUUUACGUAAAGACUACGAGUUGUAACAAUAUCCAAAGAGAGUGCAACAAUAUCGUUUACCUUUAAAGGACUGGGGUUUAUUUUUAAAUUAAAAUCUUUCAGCUCUUCCUCGACCAAGAUUUGUUAUAAUUCAUUAUUUUAUGUAUUUCUUGGCUCAAAAUGUAACACUUUUUCAGCGUCACUAUAAUGACUUUCCCGUCCUGUAAAGGUUCAUGAUUGUCAUUCUUCUUUUAGCUGCAUCAGCUCAAUACAUCAACAUAUUUAUUUUUUACCUUCCAUUCGCGUUAUCUUUCGAUAUUCAGCGACAUCCUAAAUUGAUCUGUCUCGAAGACACAGAUGUAGGCUGACAUUUUAUCAUUAGUAUAUGCGCAAUGCAUACGGCGCAACAAUAGCUAUACGUUUAUUCAUGGUGCCUCAAUUUUCUAUAAAUAUGUUUACAUGCAACUCACAAUUAACACUUAAAUCGUUCGGUCAUACAAGGUAAACAGAUGCAGAAACAUUACUUAGAUACGCGAGAUCGCAUACGCGCGUGCAUCGUGCCUUAUAUCUAUAGAGAAAAUUUUCCUGUUUUCGCCUCGACAUUUCGCUAAAUACACUCGUCAGGAUCACUGAGACACGAAAUACUCAAUAGUGUAAUUGUGAAACGCACUUAAUUCGUCGGCUUAAUGCAAAAGAGAUAUAGCGUGGAUUAACGAAUUUUUCAGUUGAUAUUGCCAAGAGAAAGGAAAUCCAUUUUCCUAUUAUCAUAAAAAAAA